AACAUCAAAAUACACCCAAAAAAGCAUCAGGUCCUGACUGAUCUUGGAAGCUAAGUAGGGUCAGCCCUGGGUAGUAUUUGGAUGGGGGACCACCAAGGAAUACUGGGUUCUGUUGUGC
rnacentral:rRNA from 1 species